AGUCGAUCCUUUCCGAUGCUCGGGGAGAUGUUAGUAUGGCAUGUGUCGUUGGCCUGCGACAUUGCAUUGCUUCUAGAGCAUAGCAACCGUACGAGUCGUCCCGCAUGCCUGGCCUCAUCUUCCCUAGCUGUGCUUACAUUGGCUGCUUUUGUUGCUGCUGUACAUUUGAUUGUAAGUCACUUUGCGCAGAAUUUUGAAAUUAGGGAUUGUGCUUGAAUGACUGGAAAAAGACGUUGCAGAAGAGGGCCCGACUGAUACGUGCUGGCGCGUCAAAUUUCUUGACGUCCUCAUUUCUGCCUGCUAGUUUUUCGCUUCCGUUUAUUAAACGACAGCCUCAUCGUAACUCCGAAAAACAGUGGAAACUGCUCUGGGAAGUUAAUGUGUGGAAAAACGGUUGUACGGCUUCACGCCAAAUGGAGUCAGUGCGCCUACCGUUGUCAGCCGGAAGCACAAAUGAAAAUUUGAGAAAUAUUUUGACAGUUCGUAAGUCCACAGCCCUGCCAUAAGUAACAACUCUGGAGGCAGCAGUAACAAGAGCUCUCGUGAGUGUAACAGCACUGAAAUUGCUUCGCCGGCUAUUCGGAUAUUAUGGCAGUGCGGGUUCGUAGAACGCGAAUAGGUACUCGCAGGUCAACUGACUGCCGCGCAUUGUGUUCUUCGUCACCUUUGGUUCAAAACCCCUUUAAGGACCCUGUCUUAAAACAGCGGUGUUAUUUCAGCUUUCGCGUUCGAACGGAUUGGGGUUCAAAAUGAACUCUCCUAUUUUUGGAGAUAAAGCGAGCGAAUGACCAGCGAGUAAGCAUGUCGGCAGGAGCGGCAUUGGUGGCGCCAUCUCGCGUCGAAAAUAAAGCCAUAACAGAACCGCAAGACGGAAAUGGCAUCCCAACACACGAACACACACACACAUAUAGGCAGGAACCGCGUUUCAAUGAACCCAUCAGUAAAUGACUCUUCCAAGAAAAACGAGAUGAUAGCACGAAAAUCGGAGCUUGACUGGAACAUGGCGUCGGGACGGCAGACGCUCUCGAUUCAGUAAGGAACUAAGCAACAGAGCGACUCAAAUGGUGCACCAACAGAAGACAACAAGCCGCUGAUGAAUACUUUUAUGGCUUGCCUGCGCUCACGGAGACUGAACUAAUCCGCAUUAAACUGCUAUUGGGCUUAAGUUAGGAAGUCUAACAACAGAUCCAAAAAUGCUAGCAGACAUGUUGGUCAAUUCUAUAACUCCCAAAUAUGAGCUCCAUGGCUUUCUAUCUCAAAUUUACCUUUGAUUAGGUUACCCCAGUGUAACGUUACUAAGUUUUCCAAUAUUAUUUUACUGGUAGUUUGCCGACGAUUUUAAAGUGACCCAUCCGCUACGAUGCGCCUCAUAAAUGUAUGCAUUGAAUAUAAAUAUAUAUAUAUAUAUAUAUAUAUAAGACCUACUAUUGUUGCCCGCUUUUUGCCAAAAGGGGCGUUAUCUAUCUCAUAACAGAAGAUAUGUUUGGCUUAUAUAGGUUAAGAACUGAAAGUACAACUCAAUCAUUCAAGUGGUUUAAGUGUAUAUGAACGAGACUCUGUUUCGUAGAGUCCAAAAAUUGUCCUUAGUGCAUAUACAUAUAUUAGCCAAAAGAAAUCGAACAUUAAACUGUCAGUUGUGUAUGAGGAAAUAACAGCGGUCUUUGUCUAUCUGACAGUGUUUCUGUGUUUGAGCUGCGUCAUGUCUGUAGCGUAGCCGCUACCAGACGAACUAACACGAGCCAUGCUUAUAGCUACAAUCUAUAGCUAUAAAUUUGAAUACUAACAUGAACAUAUAUAAGGAACAGUAUGAUUAGGAAAGGGUAUGGAACCCUACUCUCUCUAUGUCGCACGUUUACAGAUCCAGCCCGCUAGAAAAGGCCAACGACAGUGAAUGUUGUCGGUGAAUACGGCAUUUCGAAAAUAAUGCUUAAAAUAUUCUUAGCAGCGAAGCCUUGAAAAGCUUCAAUCCAAAUCUUUUACGUCAUACCCCUCAACCAUUUACGACCGAAUCUGUGAAAUACCUUAUAAGCUUCCCAGCGGAAAGUCAAUUUACAACUUGAAAACAACCAAUACUAUGGCAGUUUCAACUUCAAGAUGUUGCUUCUUUGUACGCUCAAACGAAUUGUAGCUAUGAAUUAUAGAACUGAAUUGUAGAUAAGCGUAUCUUUCAUCGAAGUGGAAGUGAUCACAGUACCGCUGGCUGAAUCUUAUUGAUCUCUGCGCGCCUUGUUAGUGGAUUUUGUUCCGUUUAAAUGCUUGUUACUCUAUUUGUGGAGAUAAAUCCACUAGCGUAGAAUAAAAAUCUAUCAUAUUAAUAAACUGUACACGCUUAAUUGACCUAGAGGCAGCUCAUAGCCCAUAGAAGCUUUCAAUAAGGAAGCUUUUCAAUAGAGCGUUUCUUUCCUGCUAUCACCUUUUCAUAAUUGUACUCAGCGGUUCUGGUUUGUGUAAUAGUCGGCGCCGUACUACCGUCUCAUCGCGUCAUACCUAACGCACGGUAGCAAUAAAAAAAACACUGCAUUAUAGGACCUUCGGGAACGUAAACGAGAUACAAAGGCGAGGAGUAGUUCGAACGUUCUAUGGUGAGCAGCUGAGCAGAGUCAAAAUGGAAGAAAAUUAGCCGAAGGAUGAUCGGCAAAGCUAUGAGAAUUCCGCUUUUUUCUUUAUUGGAAAAGAUCUUUUUUCGAUGUCGUCUAAGAGGCAUAAACAAAAGUUGGCUUCCAGCCACAGCUACUGUGAGCAAUAGCAAAACAUGGGUGUCACGCGCCCCUCCCUCGACUAGCCACGAUGUCCUGCCAACGCUUACUCUUCCUAAAACGUAGUCCUAUUCUUGCGUACCACCGCCUACUGUUAAUACCGCUUGUCAGUACGAGAGUGUGUAGUUUAGAGCAUCGGAGGAAGCGCUAAUGCUCGAGCCAAGCACGAUCGGGCCGUGAAGGAAAAAUACCGUACGUAAGGAACAGCCGAUACAGCAGUAGUAAAGAUGAUAGGAACAGCAGCAGUACUAACGAUAGCACGAGGAUCAGGAGAACGGAGCUUAGGGAAAAAGCGGGGGGAGAGAGAAAAAGAAACGCAUUCAUUCAAUCAAUCGAUGUGUCGAUAUCGUCCUCUGCGCGUCGCGUCGCCACUGCUACCAUCUCUGGUACUAGCACUAGUAAUGGUAACGCCAUCCCAGUGCCGUCAUGAUUGCAACUGCGGCAGCGGCGACCGUCCCUUUUAUUUCUUCUGUCUCUCUAUAAAAGUCACAGCCAUCAGCAGGCGUCCCAAUAUGCCUUAUUGGUAUCAUUGCUGAUUUUGUUAUUAUUAUUAUUGCUGUUAUUCUCGCCCCUUUCCGCUUGCCGCUUCCGGUGUCCUAUUGUGAUUUCGGCAGCACUAAACCUUCUACGGUUAUUUCUCCACAGCAACCUCUACCGUUUUUCUGUCCGCCACUUUUCGCAAUGUCAAUGAUCAAUCUAGAAUUGAUAGUUCCUACGCGCGAGGCCCACGAGUUGAAAAAUUCGUACUGAUCUGUGAAGCUUAAUGGCGCAGAGAAGCGGCGCUAGGGCGAGAGAUAUCUAUAUAUCUACAUAGAAAAAGGGAAAGACAGGGAGCAAAGAAGGCAAGUUAGCACUGGAGAGUGCCAAAGGAGUGGUCACAUCGCUGCAAAAAUGGGGAACGUCUACGGAUCGUUGGUCUAAACGGAGAAACAGGUGGAAAGGGCUUUGAGACGUGAAAGCGGCAGAGUGGCAGAGAAGCUUGGUAAUAUAUCUGAAAACGGAUGGUGAAGAAAUAGCAAACGUCUAGACGGGAAUUCAAAACCAGGUUGAGAUAACAACAGCCACAGUGUGAAAAAGAAAGGUCGUCGGGGAAAUAAGGGGAAAAUAGAAAAGUGUUGAGACUUCGACAGAGCAAAAAUAUGGGGGCAGAAAGAUGGAAACGGAAAAAGAAAGCGAGUGAAUACAACGUACAAGGUCGCAUCGAGGAAAAGAACCGGAGAACAAACGGAUAAAAGAUUGGGAAAGAAUGCGACGAAAGGGCGUGAAAAGAAGAAAUAACAUGCUCAGUAAGUUUUAUCCGGUCUCCUUCUAGAGAAAACGGGAAGAAGCGAAGGGGGCUGGCGAAGAAUUACCGUUAAAGGCCUCCAUCGAAGAAAGUGUAAGCAAACAUGUGAUCGUACAGUAAGUACACUGCGGAUGUCGACUUAACGACACCACUCGACAAAAGUUUACCCACAUCACAAACAAAAAGAAUUGUUUGAGAUCGCAAAAAAAAAACGACGACCAAGUGGGUCGACGGUCAGAUGCUGGUUAAAGUGAAAGGGCACAGGAGUAACAGAAAACAGGGAAGAAGGCCUGUACAUUAUCGUACAUAAUAUACGGUGAUGUACAACGUCAUUAAGAUUAAGUUGUAGCCUUAAAAUCUCGUGACUAUAUAGGACUGUACUAAUUGGCAGCUGUAGCAACGGCCAAGAACUUGUCACAACUGUAUAACCAUAAUAGUGAUCUGAGCUUAGCUUGUUAUAAUAUCAGUUGACAAUAGAUGAUAUUUAGGUAUAGAGUUAUUGGCCUUUUCUGUUACUUUCUUUCCUAGCUUUAAGCAUAGUUCUAUGACUUAGUGUAAAGGACUGUUUCGAUCGUACGACGACUGUUUCUCCAAGAACAAAAAUAAAAUUUGGUACAGCAAGCACAAGUUCCUUAGAAUACAAGCCAACGCAACGCACGUCUAGAAACGUUAAAGGCAUAGAAGCAACGAAGUAAACGAACAACUAAAUACCGAUUGAGGGGUGACUAUGUGUGACACGAGACUAAUCGUUCGAACACAUUUUCAAUCGAGUUGAAACCAGAGGAUUUUGAUGGGCAUCGGCUUAAAUUAUAGGGAAAUCGUCUAUUUACUGAUUACAGCGGACCUUGAAAUAGUCACUCAAAAGCAAGACAUAAUUAUAUGUUCGUUUAAACAUGAAUAGAGUAAUUAUGCACUAUGCUAACUACAAAGGUAUCGUUCAAUCACAAAACAGAGAAAACUCACCCAGGCUCAUUGGGCUUACUGUGGUACAAAAUAAUCAAAUCUUAUAUUUUUAUAAACGAUUUACUUGGUUGGUUACUCAUCCAAGUCUUUCUGAUGAGAGGUGCGGACCUGCCUUCGGACGGAGAAGGUCUAGAAGGAUGGAAAGCACGCAAAAACCUUCCAUUCCCUGUGCAUAUUCAUUGCGCUAUCAUUGUCUAAGCUAAAAUGGCGCAGACCAACGCCGUGCGUCAACUUCAAAACAUCCCGGAGAUUAAUAUAUGUGUGCAUUGACCCGGGUCCCCGUUAUA
rnacentral:lncRNA from 1 species